AGAGUAUGAGGAAAAACUAAAAUAAUUCAUGAAAUUUUUAUAUUGUUGUUCUUUCUGCAGACCAAGGAAGAGCUGUGGUCGAGAUGAUGGUGGUCCUCAAAUAGUUCAUCUGCUCCUCCACUUAUGUCAUCAUUAUACAGAAUAGAGAGGCCUGAGGAGAGGGAGAGACACAGAAGAAUGGUCGGUGGAACAGCCAGAACACACAUCGCAUUUACC
rnacentral:lncRNA from 1 species